rnacentral:misc_RNA from 1 species
CUAUCCCUCAAGCGCGGCUUGUGUGUUGGGCGCUGUCCCUCCCCUUCUUCGGGGGGACAGGCCUGAAAGGCAGUGGCGACGUCGCGUCCGGUCCUCGAGCGUAUGGGGCUUUGUCACCCGCUCUGUGAGGAUCCGGCCGGGGCCUGUCUCACCCCCAAUCCUCUCUAA